AGAGACUUGAAGAAAUAUGGAAAUUGGAAAGGAAAUAAACAAUAGUUUAUUAUGUAAUAGCAAUUUUGCCCAGGCCCAAUGCCAAACAAAUAAAACCUAAACCAAAUAAAUAAAAUCAAAGCUCAAUUCAGACCCUACUAGCCCACAGCCCAAUACAACAUAAACAUUCAGCCAAAUCAAGGCGCCGCACGCCUCACCAGCCUCUUCGCUACCACCGCCACCGUCGCCAAUCGUUGGCCCUCCACUCGUGUCAGACACCUGCAGAGAGCAAUAAACACGCAAGCACAAGAAGACAACAGAAGCAUACAACAGAAAAAAACAAGAAAAUUGAAAAAAAAAUUGUAAAAUGGCUAUAAAAAGCCACAAUGAACAAUAGUUCUGGGCUUCUGGCAAUUUCACGAAUAUUAGAAGCAAUAAAAGGUGUUGAUUUAGAUUUUUUUUGUCUCUUUGUUUUCCAUUUUUAUUUAUUUAUUAUUUUUACAAUCUAUUUUAAUAAAAAGGUGCAUAGAAUAAAAAGAAAGAGGAGGGCGUACCUGUGGCCGGGAAUAGCACCACCGUCGGAAUCCCCCUCCGCUUGUCGGGGCCGCAGAAACCCAUUAGGAUUUUGCUUGGGCGGCGGCCGAAAUGACAGAGGCCGAAAGGCCCUUCCUUUUUUAUUUUUCCUUCAUUUUUUUGGUUUCAAAAUACCCAAAUCGGGUAUAUAUUUUAGAAAAAUGGAUUUUUUUAAAAAAAAUUGGGUUUGGGGCAUUUUUGGCUUUCCGGCACGGCGGCGAUACGGCGGAGAACCGCCGGGGCCUUCGUCGGACCUAGGCCGGAAAGGGAGAGAGGGGAGAGGGCUGCUGCAGUUUUUUUUCUCGUGUGUGGGGGAGAGAAAUGAAAAAAAAAUAAAAAAAAAG
rnacentral:lncRNA from 1 species